AGCUUUUUGAAUCCGUGCUGAGAUUUCGUUACACAUCAACCCAUUAGGGCUGAUAAAAGUUCCAAGAUAAGUGAAGGU
rnacentral:pre_miRNA from 1 species